GUGUCAGCAGCCGCGGUAAUACGGAGGAUCCAAGCGUUAUCCGGAAUCAUUGGGUUUAAAGGGUCCGUAGGCGGACAUAUAAGUCAGCGGUGAAAUCUUGCAGCUCAACUGCAAGCCUGCCGUUGAAACUGUUUGUCUUGAAUUGAUGUGAAGUGGCUAGAAUAUGUGGUGUAGCGGUGAAAUGCAUAGAUAUCACAUGGAAUACCGAUUGCGAAGGCAGGUCACUAACAUUAUAUUGACGCUGAUGGACGAAAGCGUGGGGAUCAAACAGGAUUAGAUACCCUGGUAGUCCACGCCGUAAACGAUGGAUACUAGCUGUUCGUCCCGCAUUGGCGGGAUGAGUGGCUAAGCGAAAGUGAUAAGUAUCCCACCUGGGGAGUACGUUCGCAAGAAUGAA
rnacentral:rRNA from 1 species